rnacentral:snRNA from 1 species
GUGCUCACUUCAACAGCACAAAUACUAAAAUUGGAAUGAUAUGGAGUGUAUUAGCAUGGCCCCUGUGCAAGUAUGACAUGCAAAUUUGUGAAGCAUUCCAUAUUUAA